CGCGUGCACUGGUUCGGCCGGGCCUUUCCCUCUGGGGAGCCGCAUGCCCUUCACUGGGUGUGUCGGGGAACCAGGACUUUUACUUUGAACAAAUUAGAUCGCUUAAAGAAGGCCUAUGCUCGAAUACAUUAGCAUGGAAUAAUAGAAUAGGACGCGUGGUUCUAUUUUGUUGGUUUCUAGGACCGCCGUAAUGAUUAAUAGGGACAGUCGGGGGCAUCAGUAUUCAAUUGUCAGAGGUGAAAUUCUUGGAUUUAUUGAAGACUAACUACUGCGAAAGCAUUUGCCAAGGAUGUUUUCAUUAAUCAGGAACGAAAGUUAGGGGAUCGAAGACGAUCAGAUACCGUCGUAGUCUUAACCAUAAACUAUGCCGACUAGGGAUCGGACGAUGUUAUAUUUUGACUCGUUCGGCACCUUACACGAAAGUAAAGUUUCUGGGUUCUGGGGGGAGUAUGGUCGCAAGGCUGAAACUUAAAGAAAUUGACGGAAGGGCACCACCAGGGGUGGAGCCUGCGGCUUAAUUUGACUCAACACGGGGAAACUCACCAGGUCCAGACACAAGUAGGAUUGACAGAUUGAGAGCUCUUUCUUGAUUUUGUGGGUGGUGGUGCAUGGCCGUUCUUAGUUGGUGGAGUGAUUUGUCUGCUUAAUUGCGAUAACGAACGAGACCUUAACCUGCUAAAUAGCCCGCAUUGCUUUGGCAGUGCGCCGGCUUCUUAGAGGGACUAUCGG
rnacentral:rRNA from 1 species